rfam:Pseudomonas fuscovaginae strain IRRI 6609 Pf_IRRI_6609_contig_6.6, whole genome shotgun sequence.
UGUUGAAACCGUCCCUGGAUGGUUUCCUGAUAGAAGGAUUGCCACAUGGCACUCAGCGUUGAAGAAAAAGCUCAAAUCGUUGCCGACUACCAGCAAGCCGUU